UACGUAGGGUGCAAGCGUUGUUCGGAAUUACUGGGCGUAAAGGGCGCGUAGGCGGCCAACUCAGUCGGACGUGAAAUCCCCUGGCUCAACCAGGGAACUGCGUCCGAUACUGGCUGGCUUGAAUCCGGGAGAGGGAUGUGGAAUUCCAGGUGUAGCGGUGAAAUGCGUAGAUAUCUGGAGGAACACCGGUGGCGAAGGCGGCAUCCUGGACCGGUAUUGACGCUGAGGCGCGAAAGCCAGGGGAGCAAACGGG
rnacentral:rRNA from 1 species